AUAAGUUAACAAUGAAACUGCACAAACUUUUCACCAAGAAUAGACUUACGAUGCGCACAGCAAACAAGGUUUUGGAAAUAAUGGAUCGAGCUGCUGGACCAUACAAUGGAUUGAAAAUUGGGGACUUUGUGACUCUUGAGAAAAGUUUUGGCAUAACGUUUAUCUUAGAAAACAUAUCAACUUUAAUGCUAUUUAUUUGCAACAUUGGACCUUUGAUAUAUGCUGCGAAUCUGUCUAAUCAAAAUUAACCAUUCUUACGCGUACAAAAGGCGGAACAAUCACUCAUUCUGAUAAUGACU